rnacentral:rRNA from 1 species
CCUACGGGUGGCAGCAGUGGGGAAUAUUGGGCAAUGGGCGCAAGCCUGAACCAGCCAAGCAGCGUGAAGGAUGACGGUCCUACGGUUUGUAAACUCCGUUUAUAAAGGAGUACAGUCAGUCACGUAAGCCGUUUUGUAUGUACGUUAUGAUUAAAGAUCGGCUCAACCCGUUCCAUCAGACCCGGUAAUAUGGAAGGUCCGAUCGUUAAGCGGAUUGGUUGGGUUGAAAGGAACCGUAGAUGGGUUGUUAAGUCAGUUGGGAAAGUUAGGGGCUCAACCGUAAAAUUGCAAUUGAUACUGGCAGACUUGAGUGCAGUAGAGGUUAGUGGAAUUCGAGGUGUAGGGGUGAAAUGCUUAGAUAUCACGAGGAACAACGAUUGCGAAGGCAGCCUACU